UGAGUAAAAAAAUUUUCAUUAUGAAAAUAUUUAAUUUUCCUAAUCCCAAUAGCCUAGCAGCUGAGCCUAUCAUCUCCAUCUUCCAAAUUUGCGUGGGCCUGCACGUGUUAAUGUUACAAGUGCAAGUGUGCCUAUUCACACACAGAGAGAUCAGAUUGUGCUUGUCACAAGAUCCACGGCAAUUUUAUAGUCUUACUCACAUAACCGAGUAUGAUUAUUUACAUUGGCAAGAAUCAGUAGGUAGUUAUUGUGGAACCAAGUACGUCCAACGAUAAACCACUGUAUGGAACAAUGAAACACACAUACAUUAAUUUGCUUAUAUUGCCUGAAAUUAUGGAUCAUGCAGCAGAGCUUCAAGGUGAAUGGGCAAAAACAUAUCGAAGUUGGAUGCCAUCUGCCACAAAACCAUGAAACCAAGAAUUUUCAUUAGUCUUCCAAAAAGCUGCACAUAAUAUUAAUAGAAAACUAUAGCAUGUCCAGCUACUGACCUCCACCAAACAACAUAUUUAGAUGCCCUUAAUUAUCCUCCAAAGAUUCUAUAAAUUCAGAGAAACUAGCAGUUCCAUAGUAGCUAAUUCUUCUGUAAUCCUCAUAACAUUGGGUCAUUUCCCAUCUACCAGUCUCAAACUAAAUAAUAGAGAAAAAUUAUGCUAUCAAUGCACAUGCAGUGUGCCAUAAGUAAUGCUCUAAUUAGUUUAGGUGUCCAGCUAAUGGAAAGUGCCUGCAGGAAUCUAAUGCUGUGUGAUAAUGAUAAUAGAGAUAUUUCUUGAGUUGUGCUUUCUUCAUCAUUUUCCUUUUACCUUUGUAUUAUUGCAAGUGACCAAGGUGGCAAUAUUGUCUCCAAUAUGCAAUUUUAUUCCGCAACUCUAAAGACCCCAUUGAAUGUGCCCAAAUGUAGGACUUCAGAAGUAUGCAUGCUUUCUUUUAAGGAAUACAUGCACUACUGAAAUGAAAUUGUUAUUUUCAAUCUUCUAUUCCCCUGUUUAUGCAUUACUUCGUCAAAGUUCAGCCAAAACAAAAGGGCAUUGAAAAAUAAAAAGUUCUUAAAAGUUGAUACUGAAUCUCUCAAACAAGAAUGCAAACAUAUUUGCAGGAGUUCUCAGUGUCAAUGCUCAUCCACAGACAACCACCAAUAAGGACAAGUGUUAAUAGAAGUAUCCAUUCUACCCACAACAUGAUAUGAAUGUCACCUCUAGGCAAAAUUUUAGUAAGCAAGAAGAAAACACUCCCUCAGAUACAGCAGCUCUGCAAUUUCCAAUUUUCUCCAUUAAGACAAAUGACCCAACAGGAAAGUACUCCGUGAAGACAAAAUGACCAUUAUAGGAAAGUUCCCAUUGUGUAACCUCAAGGAUUAAAGUUCAUGUAAAAGGAAAGCUUGAGAAGAGAGGGGAAGGGAGAUGAAGAAGGAGAAAGAGUAAGAGAAAAGGGUCUGAGACACUAAUAGUGGCCCCCUCAUAGACGACAAAGUGUUAUUAAUUUAAGUGUACAUUUAGUUUCAAACACGCUUGAAUUAAAGGAAAAUCCAAUAUAGCCUGCAAUUAUCGUCCUAACUCUGUUAGAGGGAGAAUUUAAGGAAUAUUAGUUCCAAUAUGCUUAUUUUGGAGAUUCACCUACAGUAGGUGCACAGCAAUUAAGAUGUGAACACCUCACUCUAUAUGCCUAAAUCACAGUAUCACACUUUGAAAAAUAAUCUUCUACCAAAUCAAUCGAGCUCCAAAGCAAAGUUUGCUCUAUCAUUGUUGACACUAUAUUUUGGCCGAUUACCGAGGUCAAGGGACUCUAAAAUCGACUCCCAACUGACGUCCUUCGAUCACAAAUGACUUUUCUAAACACAUCGAUUACUCGAUCAUGAAAUAAAUCGAUCCCACACUUAGUUAAUUGUUUUCCGAUCUCUUAUCAGAGGGGUUCGAACCAAUUUCAGAUCUCCGUACCAUCCAGUCUUGCCUCUCGAUCUCUCUUUACAAAUAUUGUGGAAAGUCAUUUAGCUAAUGCUAGAAUCGGGUUCCUCACUUAUAUGUCCCAGAUAUUCCUUAAAAUAAAGUUAAGAUUUCUGUCCGAACUAAUGAUGAUUCCGAUCUUAAGAAUUCGAAUCAAGUCUUUCCAAUUCUAAUGUUCUAAAGUUCUACUCGGUGUUUGAUCAUGGCUUAGUCCGAUCUUAUGCUUACAAUAUUUUUCCCACCUCUUAUACUUAGGUUAAUAGUUGCUUUUAAGUUUGAUGUUCUAAUACGUUCAAACAAUCAAGAACUCAUACAAUUGGGACGCUUUCCGAUCUCAUCAAGAAAUUG
rnacentral:misc_RNA from 1 species